UACGGAGGGAGCUAGCGUUGUUCGGAUAUACUGGGCGUAAAGGGUGCGUAGGCGGGUCUUUAAGUCAGGGGUGAAAUCCUGGAGCUCAACUCCAGAACUGCCUUUGAUACUGAAGAUCUUGAGUUCGGGAGAGGUGAGUGGAACUGCGAGUGUAGAGGUGAAAUUCGUAGAUAUUCGCAAGAACACCAGUGGCGAAGGCGGCUCACUGGCCCGAUACUGACGCUGAGGCACGAAAGCGUGGGGAGCAAACAGG
rnacentral:rRNA from 1 species